rnacentral:lncRNA from 10 species
GUAAGUCUCACAAGAUCUGAUGGUUUUAAAAAGGGGAGUUUGCUUGUACAAGCUCUCUUCUCUUGUCUGCCACCAUGUGAGACAUGCCUUUCACCUUCCACCAUGAUUGUGAGACCUCAGAACUGUGUGACAACUGAUGAUGACAACCGAACAGGGUACCCCAGGAGUGGAUGAGUGUUACAAUCAUCAAGCCGCACUGCAUUCUCAGUAAUUUCACUGUCACUAUGAUUUUCACUGCCUGGGAUGCUAACGAUUUCUGAUGCCAGUAGGCCAACUAGGCUGUGAGGAAACCACUGUGCUCAGUAGUAUUUGGUAAGAAUUUGUGUGAGAUUUUUCAGAAAGCAAAUGGAGACUUCCCAGAGACAAGCAAAUUUUAAACUACUGAGACUCUAAAGAAGACAUUUAACAUUAGUAAAAAUGACUUCAGUAGAAGGGAGAUGGAAGAAAUAAAUAUGAGGCUUCAUUAGCUCAAUGAAAAAUGGCCAGAACUUGCAGAAGAAAACAAUGAUUUGAGAAAGUGAAACUCAUAAUAUUUGGCCCUUAUUAUAAUUUUCUUCUAUUCAUAUUUAGUUUUAUUUAAGCCCAUAAUCAAGAAAAGAAAGACUUUCCUUGAAAUUUGAAACUGGAAUCAGAAUGGUAAGAUUCUAUUCCCAAGUAUUACAACUGUGUACAGCCUUUGCAUCUCUUUAAAAUUUUGAUUGAACUUUAUCAUCAUCUUUUAGUAGACAAAUGUAGGUUAUAAGAAGUACAUAUUUAGAAUUUUAUGCAAUUUUUUUGCAAAUGAGAUACCUUUGAGUUCCAGCUCUAUGAAUGAAAUAUAAAUUCUUAGUCAAAUAAAUUGUUCCAUUCCAUCCUGAGCAAUACAAUGAGAUACUCAGACUUAAAAAAAAAAAAAUUCCUGAGCCUAGAUGUAUAUCAGAAUAACCUGGCUAACCUUUAAAAAAUACAGCUUCUUGGGCCUCACUCCAGGUUUGUUGAAUAGCAGUAACCCACAAGAAAUACCUAGAAUCUAUAUUUUUCAAAAGCUCCCAUAGAGAAUCUCAUGCAGUUAUUCCUUGCCUGCAGACUUGUUUUUGAGACCCAAUGGUUAAGCUAUACUCACAAAGAAAGAAAAGCUAUUAUUUACUGAGCAUCUACUACCAGGUACUAACUAGAUGCUUCAAAAUGCUAUCAUAAUGAUUCUUCUUAAUGCAGGGACACUGUAGUGUACUGAAUAGUGUCCCGCAAUAUUCUUAUCCAACCAGACCCUUACAAUGUAACCAUUUUUGGAAAUAAGGUAUUUGCAGAUGUAAUUAAAAUGAGAUUACACUAGAUGAGGAUGGACGCUAAAUCUAAUGACUGGUGUAAGCAUCAGAAGAGGAGAGGGCACACAUACAUAUAAAAAAAGGAGACAGACGGAGAGAAGAAAGCCAUGAGAAGACGAAGGCAGAGACUGGAGUGAUGCAGCUACAAGCCGAGGAACGCCAAGGACUGCCCAGAGCCACUGGAAGCUAGAGGAGGCAAGGAGAGAGCCUUCAGAGGGAACAUGGUCCUGCUGACACAUUGAUUUCAGACUUCUAGCCUCCAGAACUGGGAAAGAGUACACUUCUCUUGUUUCAAGUCCACCCAAUUUGUGGAAGUUUGUAAUGGCAACCCUAGGAAACUAAUACAGACAAAGAGACUCAGAGAAGUUCAGCAAUCCGCCUGAGUUAUUCAGAUAGAAGGUGAUGAAGCAGGGUUUCAAACUCUGGCCCCAUUGAUUCCAAAGCACAUGGACUAAAACAACACUGGCAGAGUUCAAUAGACCAAGAUUCAAGCAGCAUUUAGUCAAAGUGGGGUUCCUAGAUGGCCUAGAGAUCACCUGGGGACCUUGUUAAAAAUGCGUGUACCUUGAUACUACCUGGAAUUACUCCAUAAAAAAGUUUUGCAAGCUGGACCUAAGAACCUACUUUUAACAGGAAAAAAAAUGCGAAGAAAAGAAAUGGGCCUGGACUUUGAAGAAAUGUGGUUUCCAGAUAGGACUGCUAUUCCUAAAAAGUCAUGCCAUGCGACAGCAAGUGGACUAGUUACUUGGAAUCGAUAAUAACAGCAAAAGAGGCAAAACAGGAAAACUUAAAUAGCAAAGGUGAAAGCACUGUCAGCAAUGUGAAGUGUGACUUCAUCUUGGAGAAGAGUCAAAGCAAAGCAGAUGACCAAAUUUGUGAUCAUUUUCUAUAAGAGUUAUGAACUGAAUUAUAUCUCCCCUAAAAUAUAUAUAUUGAAGUCCUAAACCCCAAUAACUCAGAAUAUGAGCUUAUUAGGACAUACGAUUGUUGCAAACACAAUUCAUUAAAUGAAGAUGAGAUCAUACUGUUGUAAGAUGGGCUCCUAAUCCAAUAUGAUUAGUGUCCUUAGAAGAAGAAAAGCAUGCUGGGAGAAGUCCAUGUGAAGAUGAAGGCAGAGAUGAGGGUGACUGAGGAAAAAAAGGAAUGCAAAGAUUGCUCACAAACCACCAAAAGCUAGAACAGAGGUCCGGGACAGAUCUUUCCCUAGCCCCAUCAGAGGGAGCAACGCCCUGCUAACACCUUAAUCUUGGCCUUCUAGCCUCCAAAAUUAUGAGAAAAUAACAAUUUCUGAUGUUUAAAUGAUUCUGUGUGUUGUAUUGAUACAGCUACCCUGGGAAACUGAUACAAUAAUCAUGAUAUACUGAUUUUCAAAAGUAUUAUAUUUACUGUUUUGACGAAUGCAAUCUACAUGCCAAGUUGCCUUUGGGAAAACAGGUAAAAGAGUGGCAGAGAAGCUGUGGUGCAAGUGGGAAGCAAUACCAAGAAACAGGAACAAAGAAUAAAAUUAUAAUCUCAGUGGUUCUCAUUCAAAGUCACCCAGGCUCAUUUCUUAAUCACUCACCUAUUUUUAAUUUCUAUAUGUGGUUCUCCUUGCCCUCUCCCAGGGGGCCACAUUUCUCACCUCAGUAGUACUUGAGAUUUUCAUCAUAGGUCCAACCUGCCCAAGAUAAAGUGAGUACCCAGUAUGUACAACUAUUAUUUCCCUGAUUGAAUAGUCCAACAUGAAAAAUACGGCUUCAUAAGGAACCAAUAUGAGCCUUUGAUGCAACAAUUUGAAAUGGGCCUAAGUCUUGCCACUAUUAAUACUUACUUGAUGUGCAUUAAUUACCUUCCUCAAAUGGCAUAAAAAAACUCAGAGCUUAUAUAAAUAUCACAACAUUCUCAGGCAGUGAACCUUUUUAAAUACAUUAGACUUACAGAAUAUAAUAGAUGGAAAGAAGAAAAUUGGCUCAUAAUUGUACGAUUACAUAGAAAGUGUCUUUUAGGAGCAAUUGCUCCAUUUUCAGGUUUUAGUUUGCCAGAUUUGCAAUUUUUUCUCUUAGGGGAGGUACAUGGUGAAAUUUCAGAUGAAAUGGCGGGCUUAAAAGAAAUCAAGUGACCCAAUUGAUGAUCCUACAUUAGGAAAAUUACUCCUACACUUUCACUCCAUUAUGGUCAGUUUCUCAACAGGAAAAUCUGAGGCAGAGGGCAAGUGCCAUUGCUUUUGCAAAGUACUUCCCUGAAUUGUAUUAUUUCAGAGAUUGUGUUUCUGGUUCAACUUCCUUAUGUUACAGAUGAGGAAACGCUAAGAUUUUUUGGUGUUUUUAUAUGCCUUAAUCAAGGUCACUCAGGGAGUAACAAACAAAGUGAGAACACCAGUUUUUCUUAUACCUGUCUAACACAUGAUCAUCAGAGCAAAAUAUGUCACCAGUAACGGUGAUGGCACCAUUACUGGUAUUGUCACACUCUUAUUCUGUUCCCUCUAAAGUCAUUGACAUGAAAAUGCUGAAGAUAUUAAAAGCAAAAAUAAGUACUUUUCCUCACUGCAUCUUAAAGGGAUGUCCACUACUUCCCAAGUUCUUAAAUUAUGCAACAGAUAAUCAUGUGGGCUACAGAUUCACUGUUGUCCAAGUCAUCUGAACUUUCACAUAUUACCUGUGCCCUACAACCUGUAUUUCAACACUUAGUUCAAACAUAAAUAACUAUGAUAAGUGUUGUCAACUUACUUCAGAAGUAGGUUUCCAGUUAUAAUUUUGCAUUUUUGUUAAGUCUUUUACAUUUUUAUUAUUCUGUUUCUUUGUCUUAUUCUAAAGCAUAUUUAAUGGUAUGAUAUCAAGUAGUAUAAAUAUUAAUAGCAAUAGUAAAGUGUGAUACCUCAACCCAAUAAGGCUUGACAAACAUAAGAUAUAGAAAUAUAAUGUUGCUUGAUCAUUUUGGUCUUAUAUGUGUUUAAUAAUUUUUAUUUCUGUCCAGUUUUUUAAGCACUUGAAGCACAGAAAUGAGUUGUUUUAGUGUCACCCAUAAUUAGCUGUAACUUGUGUCACAACUCAACAGAAAUUAAGAUACUAUCCAAAGGGUUCUGUUCACCGUAUUGUGCAUAUUAUAAGCACUGGAGGAUUGAUUGUAUUUUAGGUAUUUGUUUCAUUUCAUUACAUCUUUUAUCUAGAGACUUUGUGAUGAUAAAAUAAAGGAUUGACAUACUAUAGACCUGUUUACUACAAACUAUAGAUGAUGAUCGGUAUGUCUUCUGAUUAUAUAUUUUUAAUUGUCAUCUCAUUCAGGAAUUAACAGAUUCAAUUUUCCAUGCAUAACAUAAAGACUAGUCUAUGGUGUGUCACUUGGAAGUAGUGAAGUGGUAAAAUCCAGCAAAGAGACCAAAAGGCGUGAAGGAGUUACAUUGAUACAACUUAGGGAAAAAUUCUUACAGAUCAACUAGAACUUGUGGAGAAAGACAGAUAAAUCAAGAACUAUGGAUUGACUUGCAAUCUUUUUAACACAAGAGUAAAAAGAGCCCAAAUUAAGAGGAAAUUUGAGUUAGAGUGAAUUAGAGUUAGAGUUUGAGCUAGAGCUAAAGUUAGAACUAGUGUUAGAGCUGGAGUUUGUGUGGAGUUAGGAUUAGAGGUCUAGGUCAAAUCUACCCUGCUUCUGUUCACUUUCAGAUGCCAGAGACUAGAAAAACCACAAGUCAGAAACAACCAGUCUCUAGACAAAACACUAUAGGUAAUACAUACAAGUUAAAUCCAGAUCUCACUUUUCAGUAGCUUGCUGUUCACCACUAGGGUUCUAAGUAUCAGUAUAUUUAUCUCUAACAAACAUGACAGCUGCUAGUUUCUUGCCCCUUUAGAAAUGGUGUUGCUUCCUGACAGCCUCACCCUGGACACUGCAUGGGCCUGUCCUCUGGUCUGUCUUUGCUCUGAGUACACUGGGCAGCUGUCUCAUUGUUGGAGAUUUUUGCAUCAUUUCAUCAAUGUUGUACCUACACUAAAAGAAGAAAAAUAGCAUAUAGUUGGGUUGGAGGAUGUGCUUUGGAUGUUCUCUGUAGAAAAAUGAUCCCCUGGCAGUCAUGGUGGUGACCCAUACCUGUAAUCCCAGCACUUUGGGAGGCUGAGCGGGCAGAUGACGAGGUCAGGAGAUCGAGACCAUCCUGGCUAACACGAUGAAACCCCGUCUCUACUAAAAAUACAAAAAAUUAGCCAGGCAUGGUGGCAGGCUCUAGUAGUCCCAGCUACUCGGGAGGCUGAGGAAUGUCAAUGUCACGAAAGGCAAAGAAAGACUAAGGAACUUUUCCAGAUUGAAGGAGACUAAACAGACAUGACAUCUAAAUUUGAUAUGUGGUCUUGGACCUUAUUCUUGAAGGUACAAAGGUAUAGAAGAUAUUACUGGGACAAAAAUCAGAUUAUGACUCAUAGAAUUAAGUACCAGUGUUAAAUUUUUAUACUAGAUAACUAUACAGUCCUUUUGUAAGAGAAUAUCCAUGUUCCUAGGAAAUACUGACAUGUUACGGGACAAAAGACUAUGAUGCACAAAAACUGCUCCCAAAUAUAUUCUUUUGGAAGAGUUAAAUUGUUUUUGAAAUUCUUGGAUGUAGGCGGAUUUAACAGACAUUAUGAGAUUUUGUGUCUAUUUUUGGUACACAUCUGAAUACAUUGUUUAUUUUAAGUUUUUAUGUUAAUCAGUUUCAAACUUUCAGAAAAAUUAUAAGAAUAAUACAGAAAUCUUAUACACACACACAUACACAAGGGGGAAAAAUCAAGUUUAAAGAAGAUUCUCCCUCUUUGGGUCAAUUAUACAGCAUUUAACAAAAACAUAAAUUCAUAUAGUUAUUUGGCCACUGAGAGAAUGAAAGAGACAUGUUCCCAAUAAAUAUCUAUCUGUUUGCCAUAUCAUCUGCAUCCAACAUUAAAAUUAGAGUGGAAAGUUGAGUGUAUUGAUAACUAUGCUUGCAUGGUAAGUUAUUCUUGUUGCACUAGAGUAUGACUGAACUUGUUAAGAGAAAACAAACAAGAACAGAUCUAUAAUGAAAAAGCUGUUUAUAACUCCUUCUGGAUAGGUAAAAUAUUCACUGUUAGACAGGGGUCACAGGUGUCAUUUCUUUGGAAAAUAAGGAGUAAAACAGAUAAAAGCAUCAUCCAUACUCAGCAGUACCUAAAUGUUCAUGAUCGUGUUAUUUCCAACUAAAUCUUCAUUUUUUUUUUGUCUUUCAUAUCCCACUUUGAAUCCUCCUGGUGGAACCCAGCUGAGCUCAGUCAGACAUGCAAGGUUGAAUGUGCCUGCCAGACAGGCUUAACUAUUUCCUAUGCAUCUUAGUAGAUACUAAAAAGCUACUAUAUUAAAAUUGUUGAUGAACAGGAAUUAAAAGCAUCCUUCCUCAGGUGUAAGCCAGCAUGUGAUAUUUCUGAAGAUGAGACGAUCUGGCAAUAAUCAUAAAUACUGAAGCUAUUGCUCAUAUAAGUUAGUGUACAUUGCCAGAAUGAAUUAUUUAGUGAAUUUUACUGAUGGAUACCUUAAAUAGCAUUCAGUUUAGACAGUGAUGUGCUUUCUAGUUAAGGAAAGCAUCUAAAACACAAACAUACUCAUGUUUUAACUACUAAAAUCCAAUAUACUACUUUGCAUUAACAAUCAUGUAUCUCAACCUUAAAAUUCACCUUCUCUGACUACUUGUUAAAAUCUAAUCCUGCACCACUUUUCUCAUGACUCUUUCUAAGAGGCCAUGAUUGUGUUUAUUAAAUAGUGGUAGCCUUACUCACAAGAGUAGCAGUGCUGUGGUGUGUCAAGAGACUGUCAAAACAUUUGGAGAAAUACAUUAUUUCUCUGGAUUUACAAAGGAAAAACAAAACAAAAUUUUUAGAAGAUAAAAUCAAUACAUUAAAUAGUUCAAUGCAAAACAUAUAUAAUGUUUUUACCCAUAUAUGUUGAUGUGAUUAUGAUGAUGAUAACUUUCCUGCUAUGAAGUUCAUUGAUCCCAAACAAUGAAAUUCAAUUACACCUAAUUUCGGAACAAAAAGAACCUACUGAAUUAGACACAGUAACUAACAGAAUUGAGGGAGAAGAGGAAAUGAGGAAGAGACGAGCCUUAAGAAGGAGUAAAGUUAGAGAACCAGGACUCCAAAGAGUAGUGACUAAAAGUCUCUUCAGUAUUCUUUCAUCUGAAUGACUAAGCUAAGUUUAAAGGAGAAAAGAAAAGAUAAUGUGAACAGUUUAGCUAUUCUCAAGUAAAGGAUCUUAGGCCGGGCGCGGUGGCUCAUGCCUAUAAUCCCAGCACUUUGGGAGGCCAAGGCGGGCGGAUCACGAGGUCAGGAAAUCUAGACCAUCCCGGCUAACACAGUGAAACCCCGUCUCUACUAAAAAUACAGAAACUUAGCCGGGCGUUGUGGCGGGCGCCCGUAGUCCCAGCUACUCGGGAGGCUGAGGCAGGAGAAUGGCGUGAACCUGGGAGGCGGAGCUUGCAGUGAGCCAAGAUAGACCCACUGCACUCCAGCCUGGGCAACAGAGCGAGAUUCCGUCUCAGAAAAAAAAAAAAAAUGGAUCUUAGAUCAACGAGGAAUGAGACUUAUUCUGAGUUAUAUUCGGAAGGAAGAAUAUAACUCAGUGGGGAAAUGUUUGUCCAAUGACAUUCCUUUCAACUCAGUAACAAUUAGAAUCACUCUUAAAAGAGGUCAAGGCCAGGCUCGGUGGCUCACACUGUAAUCCUAGCACUGUUGGAGGCCGAGGUCGGUGGAUCACUUGAGGUUAGGAGUCUGAGACCAGCCUGGCAACAUGGUGAAACCCCAUCUCUACUAAAAACACAAAAAUUAGCCAGGUGUGGUGGCGCAUGCCUGUAAUACCAGCUACUCAGGAGGCUGAGGCAGGAAAAUUCCUUGAACUGGGAGGCAGAAGUUGUGAUGAGUGGAGAUCACAUCACUUCACUCCAGUCUGAGUGACGGAGACUCCAUCUCAAAAAAAAGAGGUCAAAACACUCUUCAUAGAUGUGUCCAGAGAGCAACUAGGUGACCACCAUGUAAUCCAUCAGGCAUGGAUCAAAGGUAAUCCCUAUCUUGGUUGUCAGUUGACCAGGUGACUUCCCAGACCCUUUUCAACUUAAGAUUCUGUGAUUUCCCCCUGAAGACAAAAUAAUUUUCUGUCUCAAAAAAUAUUUUGCCUAGGAAAUAUGUCCAAAGCCCAAAUGUAGAUGCUUAAAGGGUUCUUUCUCUUAUUUCAAAAGAUAUUAUUCUAGAAUUUAAAAAAUACUAUUAACUUUCAAAAUUCCCAAUUAGUCUAGAAUUUCUCCAUUUAAAACCCAAAGCUGGGUGUAUUUUAUUAGUGUACUUUUUCUUCGAAUUGCUCUGCUUAUUAGUAUUAAUUGCCAACUGCAGAACAUCUGAGUACCCGGGCCUGAAACUGUGGAUUUGGAGUAUGUUAAAACUACGUGUUAGACAUAUAUUAUAAUAAUUAAUCUCUAAAAGUGUGGUUAUUUUAAAUUAAAUUAUUUUUGCACAUAACCAAAUAGAUUCUAUGGUACAGUUUUAAUAAAGGUCUAUCCUCUUUCUGAAAAAGCUUUUAUCAUCUCGCCUUUAGAGUCUUCUUCAAUAUAAAUUGUGCAAGAGAUUAACAAAGAUUAUAUAUUUAAAAAUUCUGUGCAAGUAUUUUGAUAUGUACUUCCAGUGAGAAAAUAUACAUUUAUCAAAAGAAAUCUUCUCUAUGGCAAAAUAAAUGUAAGCACUUAUUUGUAGCUCAUUGGCUUAUACUAUUUACAAACAAAAAAGCUCAACUGUUUCUGCCUCACAGAGAUACACAUGUGCACACAAACACACACACACAGAGAGAGAGAGAGAGAAAGAGAGAGAGAGUAAUAUACUGGGUGACUAAACAUGAAAGUUUUACUAAAUAUCAAGUAAAAGUCAAGAAAUUAAUCAAAGCAUACAAUUAAUGAAGAUUGGCUCCAAGAACUAAGAGUUUCUAGAGAACUAGUAGAAAGAAAACAUACAAGUUAGUUGUAAAAUUAAAAGACAACGUUGACCUUAAUGUUCUCAUUUUAAAAUAAAAAUGUGGCCAGAUUGGUAGAAAUAAUAAAUGGAGGAAAGGGUGUAAAAUUCAUUAGAAAUUUUCUCAAAGGAGGUGGCAAGAUUUCUUUGAAAAAUCAAGCUCCUAACAGAGUAUGGGAGAUUUUCUUUAUUUUUAGUUCAAAAUCUGUUAUGAAGAAAGAG